UUUCUGUUCCUUUCUCGGCUGAACUGGUGGAUGAGAAACAGGACUUGGGAGACUUCCUUUUGCCUGCACUAUUACCUCUGUGGAAACAGCGUGACCACUAUGCUAUCACAUAUCAAACCAACCAACAUUUUCCCGAGGAAGGACUACAAUUUGAAGAGCAAAUGUUGCUCUAACAGCAGACCACUUCCUCUCAGCCCAGCACCCAGACCCUCUUGCUUUAUGCAGGGAUGGAGAGCAGAAAGCCUGAAGCUCUCAAAAGGAAGAGAGGUGAGUCUGCUGCCAGUGCUAUACCAUCCUGGGAAGUGUGGGAAGACUUUGGCAGCCAAUGGUAAAAGGAGGAACAGGGGUAAGCUAGACUGCCCUUGCAGUUGCAACAUAGUAUGCCCAGGUUACUCAGAUCUGAACUGAGAUGUCUUCUGUAUAACGGUGGCUGUCAUGAUGGUGAUUCUUGUCAGUGUGAUGAUGUCAUACUCAAUUGUUUGCAGUGAAUAAAGAAAAAUACAUUCAGCUGCUGUCCUGAAGUAUGGGUGUUGUUAUAACAUAUUCAGCUCUGGGCUGAGUGUGUAUACGCUCUUAAUUUAUGCUUUUCUUGUGUUUUUUUUCCUGUUUUCUGUUCCCAUAAAGAAAAUUUUAGAAACCUUAUGUCCACACUAAAAAACCUUCUUACACAUUAUUUAUUUUUAAAAGGAAAAUGUGAAAAGUAGUUUAGAAAAGUGCAAACUGAACUGUAAAC
rnacentral:lncRNA from 1 species